rnacentral:lncRNA from 1 species
CUUCAGCUCUGUGGCUUACCUGGAGCGGAGCUAUUAUAAUGUGUCAUCCCAAUGGUCUGUACAAUGAACAGGUCAGCACCUAGCCUAAUUAUCAUCAGAGAAACAUCUUUCAGAAACUGAUGGGAGCAGAUGGCGAGAUCCACAGCCAAACAAAAGGCAGAGCCUGGGGAACUGCUGAGGAAGAAAGAAAGGAGGAUUGCAGGAGCCAGAGGAGUUGAGGACACCAUGAGAACACAGAGACCUAACCAACCAUCAUGGACCCUGUUGAGACACCCACUCCCGCCCCUGAGGAAGCUGGGAUUGGGGGGGUGCAAUCCUCCAUGUCUUAGAACUGUGUGAAGGAGAGAAGAGAAGAAAGUAUCCCUGGAAGAAGAACUGAACAUGCAAGAGGGAAAACCAGAGCAACCAUGUAAAGGGACCAAGAGAAUGCAGCCCAGAGGGCUGCUCAGUUGUGUCAAAAGCAGUCAAGAUGAACCAGAAGACAUCUUGAGGCACAUCAUUAGUCGAUUAAAAUAUCUCAUGGAUAUUUUUAAAGUUUUUAUAUCUGUUCAUUAAAACGUUUAUUGAAGGCAGAAAUAAUGUAAGAACUGGAGGUCAGGGGUGCUGUCAGAAGUUGUCUUCAGAACAUGAUGCUAAUGACAGAAGAACAGAAGAGUAUUGCUCACCAACUCCUAUAUUGAAGGAUCUGCAUGAUUAUUGGAACCAGAAGAAUUGAGAGUGGAAUGCCAAACAAACCAAAAUAACUAAUAUAAAGAAUGGCUAGCGGUGAAUAUCAUAGAAAGAGACCACAAAAUAUUGAGGUAGGAGCAUGAUGUUGGAACAAAGAUGCCGUCCUAGGGGGUGUGUGAUUACUGUGGAAAUCAGACACACUGGAAGAACUGUACAAGACUAGAAGCUGAAGAAUAAUGCUAUGAAUCCAAGGGAAAGGACAAAGCAAAGAACUUAAAGCACAAUUAAAAGAGGAAAGAAGAAUGUCUGUCACUACUGCUUGCAGGUGAGAAGAUAUAAUAUUAUGAAUAAGCAAUAGUAA